UAGAGCACUAAAUGGGCUAGGGGGAAGAGAUUCUUACCAAACCUAAUAAAACUCCGAAUGCUAAACAUUGUUCUUCAACAGACAGACUGUGGGUGCUAAGGUCCAUGGUCGAGAGGGAAAGAGCCCAGACCACCAGAUAAGGUCCCCAAAUUAUGAUUAAGUGUGAAAGGAUGUGGAAAUUCCUUAACAGCCGGGAGGUUGGCUUAGAAGCAGCCAUCCUUUAAAGAUAGCGUAACAGCUCACCGGUCUAAUAGAGUUUCUGCGCCGAAGAUGUAACGGGGCUAAAAUCAUAUACCGAAUCUGUGGGUUUAUAAAACUUUCGAGUUUUAUAAGCGGUAGCGGAACGUUCUGUAAGCCUGUGAAGGGAUACCCGUGAGGGAUCCUGGAGGUAUCAGAAGUGCGAAUGCUGACAUAAGUAACGAUAAAAGAAGUGAAAAACUUCUUCGCCGAAAAUCCAAGGGUUUCUGCGCAAGGUUAAUCCGCGCAGAGUUAGUCGGCACCUAAGGCGAGGGCGAAAGCCGUAGUCGAUGGAAAUAAGGUUAAUAUUCCUUAACCAGAUGGUAGUGACGGAUCUUGUAAGUUGUGUACUCUUAAUGGAUUGAGUAUGCCGCGAAAAGGUUCCAAGAAAUAGCUCCAUCAUUAGACCGUACCCUAAACCGACACAGGUGGAUUAAUAGAGUAUAUUUAGGCGCUUGAGAGAAUGAUGUUGAAGGAACUCGGCAAAAUGCUUCCGUAACUUCGGGAUAAGGAAGACCUUCUUGUAGGCAACUAUAGAAGGGUGGCACAAGCCAGGGAGAAGCGACUGUUUAUCAAAAACACAGGGCUCUGCUAACACGUAAGUGGAUGUAUAGGGUCUGACGCCUGCCCGGUGCUGGAAGGUUAAUGCGGUUGGUGCAAGCUAACUUCUGAAGCCCCAGUAAACGGCGGCCGUAACUAUAACGGUCCUAAGGUAGCGAAAUUCCUUGUCGGGUAAGUUCCGACCUGCAUGAAUGGCGUAACGAUUUCUCCGCUGUCUCCAACAUCAACUCAGUGAAAUUGAAUUCUCCGUGAAGAUGCGGAGUUCGCGUAGUUAGACGGAAAGACCCCGUGCACCUUUACUGCAACUUUACAUUGGUAUUAGGAAAAACAUAUUUAGCAUAGGAGGGAGACAUUGAAGCAAAGGCGUCAGCUUUUGUGGAGUCACCAGUGAAAUACCUCUUUUGUUUUUCUUGGUAUCUAACUGAUUGCCGUUAUCCGGCAUCAAGACAUUGUAUGGUGGGUAGUUUGACUGGGGCGGUCGCCUCCCAAAUAGUAACGGAGGCGUGCGAAGGUAGGCUCAGAACGGUCAGAAAUCGUUCGUAGAGUGCAAUGGCAUAAGCCUGCCUGACUGUGAGACUGACAAGUCGAGCAGAGACGAAAGUCGGUCAUAGUGAUCCGGUGGUUCUGAGUGGAAGGGCCAUCGCUCAACGGAUAAAAGGUACGCCGGGGAUAACAGGCUGAUACUGCCCAAGAGCUCAUAUCGACGGCAGUGUUUGGCACCUCGAUGUCGGCUCAUCACAUCCUGGGGC
rnacentral:rRNA from 1 species